GAUUUUAAUGUUCUGUUGUUUAUAAACUUGCCUCCUCUUUAGGGAUGUAGUGCUCUGUACAUAAACAUUGGACAUCCUGUCUGGAUUGUGCUUCUCUGAAUAUUCACAGUCCUCUGGGUCUGAGCCAUGGAACCCAGCUUCCUUGGCACUGUAUCUACAUGAUACCUUUGGCCCUUUAAAGUUGGCAUCUUCUGCUGGUACUUCCUGCCUUGGAUACAUUUUGGUGUGCUGGAAAAUUUCCCAGGACAAGAGAUUUCUACAACCAUGGAUCUCUGAUAGUCACAGACUCCCUGAGGUGGUGCCUACCCAGAAGCCGGAAAUCCUAUUAUCCUUUUAUACAAGUGGCUGCUCUCUGAAGAGACCAACAAUAGCACAUUCAAGAAAAGAACUGCAGUCAGAGACCAGGAAGAGACAAUGUGAGGCUGAGACUGGACAGCCAGCGAAAGGUCAGUGUCCAUGCUCCCGGGUAAUUGCUUUCCCACUCUGUUCAAGGGAGCUCUUAACCAAGGCGGAUAUAGACUACGAUUUCAUUCCUUGUAUGAAAGAAAGGAUAAUAAUAUGCAAUUGUUUAUCCCAUAAAGGCAGUCAUGUUUCUCGAACAAUGGCUGAAUUCAGGGCAUUUGGGAGUCAUCAUCAUGAGUCGUUUGGAGUAGGAUAUGAGCAGUUAUUCCACUGGCCAGAGGCAAAUAAGAAGAAUCUGAACAUAAGAUUGCUUUUUCAAUUUUUGUUUCAGGAAGAAAAAUAGUCGACAUCUGAGUUUUUUGAUCAUGGACACUUUUGUGAUAAUGCUGGACACAGGACCUUGAGUGUAUCUGUGAACUCUAAAGUUUAGAGCACUCUCCCCAGCUCUGACAUCUGCACAGAUGACACAAAUGGCCAGGAAAGACAAAUCAUGGAAAGAUAAAUUAAUAAUCCCAAGAUGUAGAUGCUUUUACAUACUGUCUUACAACACUUGAUAACACAAAAUAUCUGGAAUUAUCAGGAAAGUCUUACGCAUUCUGAGAGAGAUUCUACGCUUAUUGUGCUUUAACAUUUCCC
rnacentral:lncRNA from 1 species